rnacentral:rRNA from 1 species
CUGACCGUGCAAAGGUAGCAUAAUCAUUUGCCUUAUAAUUGAAGGCUAGUAUGAAUGGUUUGACAUGAAUGUAGCUGUCUCUUUAUAAUUUAAUAGAAUUUUAUCUUAGGUGAAGAAGCCUGAAUUCAAUUAAAAGACAAGAAGACCCUAUCGAGCUUGAAAAAAAUUGAUGGAAUUAAAGUCAAUAUAGUUAAAAGAUUAUCUAUCACAUAUUUUAGUUGGGGCGACUAAGGAACAUAAAAAGCUUCCUUUAAAAUAUUAGUUUAAGUCAAACUAGAAUUGAUCCAAAAUAUUUUGAUUAAAGGAAUUAGUUACCGUAGGGAUAACAGCAUUAUCUUUUUUAAGAGCUCAUAUCGAAAAAAAGGUUUGUGACCUCGAUGUUGGACCAGAAUAUCCUAAAGGUGCAGCAGCC